rnacentral:rRNA from 1 species
CUUGGUCAUUUAGAGGAAGUAAAAGUCGUAACAAGGUUUCCGUAGGUGAACCUGCGGAAGGAUCAUUAGUUGACAGGCCGUUCGCGCGGUAUCUGAAACCCUCCUUACAGCGGCCGGAGUUCGGCGCAAGGGUGAAGCCCUCUUUGGGGGUAGAGCCCGCCGGAAUCUUGCAAACCAUGCCUCGAAAUUGCGGUCUGAGUAAAUGAUAAAUUAGCGAAAACUUUCAACAACGGAUCUCUUGGUUCUGGCAACGAUGAAGAACGCAGCGAAAUGCGAUAAGUAAUGUGAAUUGCAGAAUUCAGUGAAUCAUCGAAUCUUUGAACGCACAUUGCGCCCCUUGGUAUUCCGGGGGGCACGCCUGUUCGAGCGCCAUUUCAACCCUCGAGCCCUGCUCGGUGAUGGGCCCCGUCCUUGCAGACGGGCCCGAAACCCGUGGGCGCCGACGUCCGGUCCUGAGCGUAGCAAGAGAAAUCCCUCGCUCGGGCACCGUCCGCCGGCCGCCUCGACCCAAACUCACAAGGUUGGCCUCGGAUCAGGCGGGAAUACCCGCUGAACUUAAGCAUAUCAAUAAGCGGAGGA